CGCGUAGGCGGCACUGCAAGUCAGUUGUGAAAUCUCCGGGCUUAACUCGGAACGGUCAAUUGAUACUGCAGGGCUAGAGUGCAGAAGGGGCAACUGGAAUUCUCGGUGUAGCGGUGAAAUGCGUAGAUAUCGAGAGGAACACCUGCGGCGAAGGCGGGUUGCUGGGCUGACACUGACGCUGCAGCGCGAAAGCCAGGGGAGCGAACG
rnacentral:rRNA from 1 species